UCAGUUAGUGGCAGUUAUCUGUUGCUGUCCUUCUGUUUGGUUCGUUGCUACUAUGUAUGAAGUAAAGCAGUAUAUAAAAAUGUGUAAAUUUUUUUAAGCAACAAUAGUUCUGGCAGUGAUGAAUUUAAAACUCUGGGAGUUCUUCUGCUUGUAAGACCAGAAGACCAAGGAAAAAGAAAGCCAUGGUUGAAACAGUCCUGGCACCGUGGACAAUUGUCCUGGUAAUUUUUGCUACAGUGCUCUUAAUGAGCUUCCUCAUGUUUCUCCCCCCUACUGUUGUGUUGAUCUGGAGAAUGAAGACAAUAUCAGAGAUCUCUCUGGAUGGAGUUGUGUAGCCGACCUCACUGCAGAGAUUCCAGUGCCAAUGUCAAAGCUCUUGGCUCAUCUGAAAUAUGGGCAACAAUGGAUGCAGAAUUCAAGAGGUUGGAUAUAAAGCACUUGAUGCCUGGUAUCUGUCUGUUUCAUUUUUUUUCUCUUUUAUGAAAAUAAUUGCAUGAAGAGAAGCAAGUCAAGGACAAGCAAGUGGAAAGACAACAAACAUGUUUCCUUCUAACUCACUUUGGAUCACAAUUCGGUACCAUCUCACUUACCUGGCAAUAAACCCAAUUGAAUUCAGUAGGACUCACUUCUGAGUAGACCUGUAUACAACUGAACUGUCUCAACGUCUUGUUGCUUUAUGUACCUCACUCACAUGCAGUAUUAGAAAAGCAGAAACAAAAGUAAUUGCAACAUGCCAGACAGAAUGUGUGUGUGAUAUAAAACUUGCACUAAAUACCA